rnacentral:rRNA from 1 species
GAGGAAUGUAUAGCAAUAGCUACUUGCAUCAUUGUAAAUAUGAUGCAAGAUCGACUAUGUCGAAUAAAAUUCUAGGUAGAAUUAUGAUAAUGACAUUGUCUGCCUAUGUGUCUUGACCAAAUUACGUGCCAGCAGUCGCGGUAAUACGUAGAAGACUAGUGUUAUUCAUGUUUAAUCGGUUUAAAGGGUACCUAGACGGUAAAUCAAGCCUAAAAGGAAAUAAAUGAAGGGACUAAUUUACUAGAGUUACUUAUGAGGGGGUAUUAAAGUACUGCUGGUGUAGAGAUGAAAUUCUGUCAUACCUCUUUUCAAUAGAAAAAUAAUGGCACAGGUAUAGGCGAAAGCAUCCCCUUAUGUGAUAACUGACGUUGAGGGACGAAGGCUUUGUGUAGCGAACAGGAUUAGAUACCCCAGUAGUCAAAGCAGAAAAUGAUGAAUGUCAUAGAUUAGAUAUAUAAGUUUAUUCUAUAAAUGAAAGUGUAAGCAUUCCACCUCAAGAGUAAUUUGGCAACAUUGGAACUGAAAUCAUUAGACCGUUUCUGAAACCAG